UUGGCAGUGACAGCGAUGCCGUUCUGGUGCUUGGAAAAGCUCUCUGUCCUCUAAAUUUAGUCAGACACUUUUGUGAUGUGCUACUCUGAUUGGCACAGCUGGUUAACAGGGAAGAGAACAGUAAUGGGCCUGGCUCAGAGGAUUAUGAUGAAUCACUGUACUGUGUGAUUUAUACUCACCUUCACUCAUCUCCUUUGCAGCUUGUGCUGCGCUGGAGCUAUACAAAUGCAAAUAGCAGCCAUGCACUAAUAUGCCCUCUGUGACCCUUGUGCUUGUCUCGAUCUUCAAAAACUGCAUUAGAGCUGAGAAUGUGGGUAACAGAUGACCCUCAGGAGUACACUCAGAUGAAUGUUGUGUGUGUUUUAUUCAGGGGAACUGUGGAGAUCCAGGGGUGGUUGGUCCUGUUGGUCCACCAGGCCUGACGGGAUCAGCUGGAGAACCAGGCGUUCCAGGGCUGCCAGGUGCCAUGGGUCUGCCAGGGUUCAAAGGUCAUAAGGGGGAGAGCGGUGAACCUGGGUCUAAAGGAGCACAGGUACGGUGGCUGUUCUUCCCGACACAAUCAUAUCCAAACUAACCAGCUUCAUGAGAACAUACGAUCCAUCAUGACUGCACAGGCUCUAAGCUCCAUCUCAGCACACGUAGGCUUAGCUUAACUGAAGAACAGCACCAGUGAUGCAGCACUCCAUCAAUCUUGUCCUAGGGUCAAACAACCUUUAUAGAGCCUAGAGGUGUGUUUUUGACUCAUUUUCCAGCUAACAAAAACACAUCUGUAUGUGCCAUGCUAAUUCAUGCAGUGCUGGGGUUAUUCAAAUAUCCAGAAAAAGUGAGGGACCCUGUUGUUAAUCAUUCUGUUUCAUAACAACAUCGUUUUUAGCAAACUUAAAUACCCAGUGGCAGUAUUCGAAUAUGUGAAUGUGACGUCAAAGUUUCAGCUAAUAAAUGUGAAGCAACAAGGAG
rnacentral:lncRNA from 1 species